rnacentral:tRNA from 1 species
GGUCUUGUAGUUUAUGAAUCCAAAAUAUUAAAUUGCAAAUUUAAUGAAGAAUAAAAUUUUCUAAGACUU